GCAUCGAUGGGGUAUUGGCAACCCACAGCUCGUCCAUAAUGCCAGGAGAUUCGAUAGGAAAGCUGGGAUCGGGGUUCGACUCCCCGCCGAUGCA